CAAUAACCGCAGUAACUGCAUAACUAAAAAAAAAAAAAAAAUCAAUUUCAAAUCAUUCUCUCUCUCUAAACACCAUCUUCUUCAUUUCUCUAGAGUUUCUCUCUCAUCAAACCCAACAAAUCACAACAAAAUCAUACUCCAAAAUUGCUUCAAAUGUCUGUCGAGAAGAAAUUAAACAAUCACAACAAAAAGAGUAAGUAAUUUCGUUAGUUUUGUUCAUUUUUUGAGAUUGUAGUGCAAUUUUAUGUGUGAAACCUUAAUUUUGUUCAUUUUGUUGCGAUUGUAGUGCGAUUUUGCAAAAAACCACUACAGAGAAGAACAUGCAAGAAGAAACUGCAAAAUCGGAGCAAAAUGUAUCUAAAGAUAUGAUUUUGGAGAAGAAUACUUCAGAGACGAGUAAUUUGUUGAAAAUUUAUGAAGAAAUGUGUGAACCCUAACUUUUGUAAAACCUAAUUUGUUCAUAUUCUUGCGAUGAAAAUUAUAGAGCGAAUUUAUUUGUAAAACCUAAUUUUUGUUAAAAUUUUUUGCGAUUGUAGUAAUUGUUCUAAGAUUUUACUGAAAAUAACUAAAACAUUAACAAUUUAUUAAAUAAAACAGAGACGAUGAUGAUGAUGUACCUCUUCAGUCAAGAGUAGACAAAUUGAAAAAAAAAACCGCCAAAAUGAUCCAAUUGUAGAUCCGGAACUUUUAAAAGAUAUUGACAAGUCAAUUGGUACGGAUUUAACAA